AUGAUUGACAGAUUGAGAGUUCUUUCCUGAUUCAGUGGAUGGUGGUGCAUGGCCGUUCUUAGUUGGUGGAGUGAUCUGUCUGGUUAAUUCCGAUAACGAACGAGACUCUCCCCUACUAAAUAGUCGGUUGGAUCUUGCUUAUGGAGAGCUGUGCUGGUGCGGGUGCGUGCGGGGGUGUGUGUGCGUGUCAGGGGCUGCUUCACGGUGGUCUCUGUUCGCUUGUGCAUUCUCGUGCGUGCGUGUGCCUGUCACACUCCAAGUCCGCCGCUUACUCACACGGGUGUCUUUUGCUCUGGUCUUAACAGCCAUGUGUGAUUGUGCUUCAUGAGUAAAACUCUUCUUAGAGGGAUUCACGGUUCUGAAGCCGUAAGAAACUGAGAGCAAUAACAGGUCUGUGAUGCCCUUAGAUGUUCUGGGCCGCACGCGCGCUACAAUGCCGGGCACAGCAGGUUCAUGUCCUUCUCCGAGAGGAGUGGGGAACCCUCUGAAAGCCCUUUAACACAACUUAUCAAAGGGGUUCGCUCGCCUCGUGCUUGCGUUCUUCUUCCUUGGCAUGCUUGGGCCUGGGGCUUGCAAUUCUUUCCCACAAACGAGGAAUGCCUAGUAGCGGCGGAUCACUGAGUUCGCUGUGACUCAGUCCCUGCCCUUUGUACACACCGCCCGUCGCUACUACCGAUUGGGUGUACCAGUGAGAUCCUUGGACUGGCGAGCCUUGUAUCAUUUCCAGCAAUGGGGUGUUCAAGUGUGUACGACGGAAAGAGGCUCGAACUGGUGCACUUAGAGGAAGUAAAAGUC
rnacentral:rRNA from 1 species